rnacentral:rRNA from 1 species
AUACGUAGGGGGCGAGCGUUGUCCGGAAUUACUGGGCGUAAAGGGUGCGUAGGCGGCCCUUUAAGUCGGAUGUGAAAGCCCGCGGCUUAACCGCGGAAUGGCAUUCGAAACUGGAGGGCUUGAGUGUCGGAGAGGGUAGUGGAAUUCCCAGUGUAGCGGUGAAAUGCGUAGAUAUUGGGAGGAACACCAGUGGCGAAGGCGACUACCUGGACGAUAACUGACGCUGAGGCACGAAAGCUAGGGGAGCAAACAGGAGUAGAUACCCUGGUAGUCCCAGCCGUAAACGAUGAGUGCGAGGUGUGGGGGGCAACAAUCCUCCGUGCCGGAGUUAACACAAUAAGCACUCCGCCUGGGGAGUACGGCCGCAAGGCUAAA